UCCCUGGUAGCUCAGUCGGUAAAGAAUCUGCCUACAGUGCAGGAGACCUGGGUUCAAACCCUGGGUGGGGAA
rnacentral:tRNA from 1 species